GCUUCGGUGGUGCAAUGGGUUAGUGCAUGGCACUAAAAAGAUAGUGUGAGCAAUGCCAAGGGUGUGAGUUCAAGUCUCACCUGGAGCA
rnacentral:tRNA from 1 species